rnacentral:rRNA from 1 species
GGGAGCAAACAGGAUUAGAUACCCUGGUAGUCCACGCUGUAAACGAUGUCGAUUUGGAGUUUGGGGGCAUGACCCUUGGGCUCCGGAGCUAACGCGUUAAAUCGACCGCCUGGGGAGUACGGCCGCAAGGUUAAAACUCAAAUGAAUUGACGGGGGCCCGCACAAGCGGUGGAGCAUGUGGUUUAAUUCGAUGCAACGCGAAGAACCUUACCUGGUCUUGACAUCCAUAGAAUCUUGUAGAGAUACGAGAGUGCCUUCGGGAGCUAUGAGACAGGUGCUGCAUGGCUGUCGUCAGCUCGUGUUGUGAAAUGUUGGGUUAAGUCCCGCAACGAGCGCAACCCUUAUCCUUUGUUGCCAGCGGGUAAAGCCGGGAACUCAAAGGAGACUGCCGUUGAUAAAGCGGAGGAAGGUGGGGACGACGUCAAGUCAUCAUGGCCCUUACGACCAGGGCUACACACGUGCUACAAUGGCGUAUACAAAGGGAAGCGAAGGUGCGAACUGGAGCGGACCUCCUAAAGUACGUCUAAGUCCGGAUUGGAGUCUGCAACUCGACUCCAUGAAGUCGGAAUCGCUAGUAAUCGUGAAUCAGAAUGUCACGGUGAAUACGUUCCCGGGCCUUGUACACACCGCCCGUCACACCAUGGGAGUGGGUUGCACCAGAAGUAGAUAGCUUAACCGCAAGGGGGGCGUUUACCACGGUGUGAUUCAUGACUGGGGUGAAGUCGUAACAAGGUAACCA